rnacentral:lncRNA from 1 species
AGCACUGGGCAAACGCUGCCCGAUGACGCCCGCCUCGGGGGCCACGGCAUCACUGGGGCGACUGCGAGCCCGGCCGCGGAGCCGCUGGGACGCGGCUUACCUCCCGGCUGUCGCUGCUGUGUGUGUUGCCCGCGCCAGUCACGUCCCUAAUGGGACCCUCCGUUUCGGCGUCUGUAAGGCGAGGAGGACGAUGCGUCCCCUCCCUCGCAGGAUUGAGGUUAGGACUAAACGGGGUCCGCAGCGCCCGGCAGCUCCCGAGCGCUCUCCCCAGCCGCGCCUCCCUCCUUCCCGCCACCCGUCCCGCAGGGGCCCGCGGCGUCACCUCUCAGGCUGUAGCGCGCCUGCAUGCCGAAUACCGACAGGGUGCCGGUGCCCGUGCGGUCGUCCUUCCUGACGCCGCAGCGGAGGAUGUGUUGGAUCUGCCCCAGAUAGGCGGUGUCCUCCAAGUGCUUCCGGGUCAUCUGGAGAAUCUGGCCAUACUGCUGAUUGGAUACAUUGACCAACCUGAUCGCCUCGUCUAAUUCUGUGUGCAGAGCAGGUACAUCAGGACAGUCUAGCAG